rnacentral:rRNA from 1 species
UGAGUAACGCGUGAGGAACCUGCCUUCCAGAGGGGGACAACAGUUGGAAACGACUGCUAAUACCGCAUGACACAUGACCGUGGCAUCACGGACAUGUCAAAGAUUUAUCGCUGGAAGAUGGCCUCGCGUCUGAUUAGCUGGUAGGCGGGGUAACGGCCCACCUAGGCGACGAUCAGUAGCCGGACUGAGAGGUUGACCGGCCACAUUGGGACUGAGAUACGGCCCAGACUCCUACGGAAGGCAGCAG